CCGAAUUCAGUAAAUCUUG
rnacentral:siRNA from 1 species